CGAGAGUCCAUUUACCUUAUCAUUUAGAGGAAGGAGAAUUCGUAACAAGGUUUCCGUAGGUGAACCUGCGGAAGGAUCAUUG
rnacentral:rRNA from 1 species